AUUGCUCUGUAUCAGCAGUAAUUGGUAGCCUCUACAUAUGGAGGCGUAGGUGCCACCUUUACCCCUAAUGUGCAUAAUGGACUGGAUAUUGGCUGCUGUUGUACACCUUUCUAUCACAUUUGGAUUAUGCCAUGAUAUAUGCUUAUCUUCUAAUCCAAAUAAAGAAUUUAAAUGUGUGUGUAUGAUCAUGUGUGUGUGUGUGUGUAUGUGUGUGUA